rnacentral:lncRNA from 1 species
UCGGACAUCAUGACACACCUCAUUGAAAGAAUCGAUGUUGCAUAUCUAAUAACACACCAAGCAUCAAGCGAUGAAAACUUGAAUGAUGUAAAUCAAUCAAUCUUCACUGGCAUCAAGUGUUAUUUCAAUGUUUCACCAUAUAUAUGUAUCCUUCUCUAUUUCCUUUAUUGCCGUGAGAAUCAGAAUUCCACACCUCACAAAGACUUCACCAAAAAAAAUCAUACAUAUCACUCUCAUAUUAUUAUUGACUUGUGUUUGGAAUUGGUCCCCUAUGCUCUUCCAUUUAUUCUUUCCCUGUUAAUUUGUUAUGCAAGCCAAUUAGCACUGAUAUGAUAUUAUAUAUACCUUUUAUUAAAAUGUGUAGUACAGUUGUGAAGAAUUUUUCUUACGAAUAGACAAAAAGUAAGUUUUGUAGUGCUGGAAAAUUCUU